CUCAGUAGCCUUCAUUUGGGAGAUGGAGUGUUCUGUAGCUAGAAAUCCUAUUGCUAGCUGGAUCUCAGCUACGUAAGACAACGGAGUACACACAAUUUCCAAGCAGCACUAAUCUCAGAAAUCUCUCUCCAUGCUCCUGUUCAAUCACUUUCUGCUUAUACAAGUGAGGUGGAGUAAAGGAUCUCAUUUUCCAGGGAUGGUGAUUUACUCUCAUGCAAAUACUUCAAGUUACCUUACUAGGGAAGGUUCUACUCUCUACGCAGCUCCUUGAAAGGCUUCACUGGAGUGGUGCCACGUGGGUUAGGCUGAACUGAAACUUCUGAGUAAAAGCGUGAUACUGCUUCAGAAGCCUAUGGAAUUCUAGUGGUUUUCAUUUAUAUCAGUUUAUUAGCAGCUUGUAAGGUGGUCGUACUGUUGUAAUAAUAUUUAAAUGUAUUAUAUGUUUCAGGCAAGGGUCAAAUUUAAUCCCACGCACAUUGCUAAUCAGAUCUGACAGUAUAUUUGGAGGUGUGAAGCAAUGUGUAAUACUGGGAGAGGACAAACAAAUCCAAAGAAAUGUGCCAUUUUUAAAUCUACUUAUACAUUCUCUUCUCCUAUGAAUUCAUACGUAAUGUGAGAGAUAUUUUUGUUCUUUUUCCAACUAUUCUGAAGUGUUGUUGAACUGAUACUUGGCAGUAUGAAGGUAGAUGGCUUUCUUGCCUCACUGAUUUUGCAUCACACCUUUAUUUCCCAUGUUAGUCAAAACAAAUACUUUUUUCAAACCUCACAGACUUUCAUUCAACUGCACUUGCUAGUGGCAGACCUUAAUAAUGUAAUCACAUAUGAUAACUGUAAGUUGGUACACAAGGACCAUGAAUGUUAUGAAAACAAACUUGAUAAUGAUGUAAUUGACUGAAUUGUAGAAUUUCUGAAUGUGUAGAAAUUUAGGAACUGAAAGUGUCCAGUAUUGUGGUCUAUUUGUUGCUUUGCUGAUACUGAUCCUGCGUGUGUUAUUAACUGCUUGUAUAAUAAACUGCUUUAAUCC
ensembl:lncRNA